rnacentral:sRNA from 1 species
UCUUCCCCUAUUUCCUAUGUCCUGGACUCCUGGUGAGAUGGAUAGAUGAUCCUCGCCGGAUCAGGCCAAGCGCCCGCUGGCUAGGUUUCACUUUACCGCUCUUCCGCGCGGCAGAGCCGUCAACGGGCCGCUCCCGAACCCAAAAAAGGGACCCAUAUCCAAAAUCCCACUCCCGUGAAUACAAAAUAUCCUUUCUUUUUCGGGCCGCUUUCGGGAUAUCUACUCCUGUUUGAG